rnacentral:rRNA from 1 species
UUUUUUAAUUGAGAACUAGAAUGAAUGGUUGAAUAAAAUAUAAACUGUCUUAAUUAAAUAAUAGUAGAAUUUUAUUUUUUAGUAAAAAAGCUAAAAUAUAAUUAAAAGACGAGAAGACCCUAUAAAGUUUUAUAUUUUAUUAAUUAAAAAUUAAUUAGAAUAAUGGAAUUUUUAAUUUAUAAAGUAUUUUAUUGGGGUGAUAAUAAAAUUUAAUAAACUUUUAUAUAUAUAUAACAAUAAUAAUUGAAAAAUUGAUCCAAUAGUAUUGAUUAAAAAAUUAAAUUACUUUAGGGAUAACAGCGUUAUUUUUUUUUUAAGUUCAUAUUUAUAAAAAAGAUUGC